AGUGAACGCUGGCGGUAGGCCUAACACAUGCAAGUCGAACGGCAGCACAGUAAGAGCUUGCUCUUACGGGUGGCGAGUGGCGGACGGGUGAGGAAUACAUCGGAAUCUACUUUUUCGUGGGGGAUAACGUAGGGAAACUUACGCUAAUACCGCAUACGACCUACGGGUGAAAGCAGGGGAUCUUCGGACCUUGCGCGAUUGAAUGAGCCGAUGUCGGAUUAGCUAGUUGGCGGGGUAAAGGCCCACCAAGGCGACGAUCCGUAGCUGGUCUGAGAGGAUGAUCAGCCACACUGGAACUGAGACACGGUCCAGACUCCUACGGGAGGCAGCAGUGGGGAAUAUUGGACAAUGGGCGCAAGCCUGAUCCAGCCAUACCACGUGGGUGAAGAAGGCCUUCGGGUUGUAAAGCCCUUUUGUUGGGAAAGAAAAGCAGCAGGAUAAUACCCCGCUGUUCUGACGGUACCCAAAGAAUAAGCACCGGCUAACUUCGUG
rnacentral:rRNA from 1 species